UGGUUCGUGUGAGGCUCGCGAGUGUCGCGCGGUGUGGGCGACGUACGAGCAGCGACGAGAGUCUUGGUGAAGGGUUCGUGUGGUGCGAAUUCUGUCGAGCACAAGGGUGCGAGUCCGCCGGAAUUCUUGUGCGAAAAGUGGGUCGAGUGCUGCGACAAGGGUCGUGGUGUUGAGGGUUUCGUGCGCGUGAGUGGUGUGGUCUUCGGUCGCCGGAAUUCUUUCGCCGGCGAUUUCUAACGGUCCCAAUUUCAUAAGCGGCUCGUUCUAUUAAGUCAGCGAAAAUUCUCCGUUACAAGACUAGGUGAGCUGGUGCUGCUGCAUGACAUCAAGCAUAUGGGGGCUAGACUGUAGUUUGAAGUUAAUUUUUGGUUUGAUCAUUAAUGAAUUUUAUAGAACAUUAUUACAUGGUUUGAGUUUGAAUAAAGAGGG